rnacentral:rRNA from 1 species
AACGAACGCUGGCGGCAUGCCUAACACAUGCAAGUCGAACGAGACCUUCGGGUCUAGUGGCGCACGGGUGCGUAACGCGUGGGAACCUGCCUUUGGGUUCGGAAUAACUCAGAGAAAUUUGAGCUAAUACCGGAUGAUGUCUUCGGACCAAAGAUUUAUCGCCUUUAGAUGGGCCCGCGUUGGAUUAGCUAGUUGGUGGGGUAAAGGCCUACCAAGGCGACGAUCCAUAGCUGGUCUGAGAGGAUGAUCAGCCACACUGGGACUGAGACACGGCCCAGACUCCUACGGGAGGCAGCAGAGGGGAAUAUUGGACAAUGGGCGAAAGCCUGAUCCAGCAAUGCCGCGUAAGUGAUGAAGGCCUUAGGGUUGUAAAGCUCUUUUACCCGAGAUGAUAAUGACGGUAUCGGGAGAAUAAGCACCGGCUAACUCCGUG